rnacentral:sRNA from 1 species
UCAUCCAAAGUCUGUUAUGUUACGAAAUUGUUUAGAAAAAAGGUGUUUUAAAAACUAAAUACAGAAAGAAAUGCAAGAUUUCCCAUCUUUUCUUUGCAUUUUGUUCAACAUCUUCCUCAAUUUCAAGGUAUGCUCCGUGCCUUGCAACACCCGCCACCAGGUAUUUGAGCAACUCGCCUAGUUAAAUUUUGAAAACUUUCGGAAAUGGAAAUCAAGCACACCCUAUGCAAUUUCAAGGAGUUACAGCAAGUGCACGACUUCCAUGGUAUGCUCCGUGCCUA